rnacentral:rRNA from 1 species
AUUGAACGCUGGCGGCAUGCCUUACACAUGCAAGUCGCACGGCCGCACGGGAGCAAUCAUAGUGGCGAGUGGCGAACGGGUGCGUAACGUAUCGGAACGUGCCCAGUCGUGGGGGAUACCGUAGCGAAAGAUACGCUAACACCGCAUACGAUCACUGGAUGAAAGCGCGUGAACGCAAGACCACGCGCGAUUGGAGCGGACGAUAUCAGAUUCGGUAGUGGGUGGGGUAAAGGCUCACCAAGCCGACGAGCUGUAGCUGGUCUGAGAGGACGACCGACCACACUGGGACUGAGACACGGCCCAGACUCCAACGGGAGGCAGCAGUGGGGAAUUUUGGACAAUGGGCGAAAGCCUGAUCCGGCCAUGCAGCGUGCAGGAUGAAGGCCUUCGGGGUGUGAACAGCUUUUGUACAGAACGAAAAGGUUUGGCCUAAUAAGCUGAGCUCAUGACGGUACCGUAAGAGUAAGCACCAGCUAACUACGUGCCAGCCGCCGCCGUAA